rnacentral:sRNA from 1 species
GGUAGCGAGGACGCUUAGGCAGGGCCUGCGCCCAGUUUAGAGGCCAAUGCUUCUCCCGUCCUCUGCAUGGCACCCAAGAAGGAUAAAGGAGGGACUGUGAACACCAGUUCUAAGAUAUGGGAACCCUCGCUCAUAGCUGCACAGUUCAAUCAGAACGAUUGGCAGGCCUCCAUUGUUUUUGUGGUUGGGAACCAGAUUGAAGAUGAUCUUCUCAUCCAAGCCCUUACCGUGGCUGUCCAGGUCCCUCAGCGUAAACUCUUCAGUAUGGUAUCGUGGCAAGACAUUCUCCAGCAGAUUAAUGAAAUAAAUACACUUGUUGGAUCCGCUUCAUCUAAAAAGGCAAAAAAACCUGUAGGAGGUAAUGCUCCUUUGUAUUAUGAGGUAAGUGAACGUGUUUAUAGAAGAGAUUUUUGUGUUUUUAGAAAAAAGAAUUGAAGUAAUAAUUUGAUAGCCAUUUUUAAAUUUCAUUCUUUGAAAAUAAAUGCCUGCUCCUCAUUGGAGAUAUUUGUUCCCGAUGGUGAACACAC